rnacentral:rRNA from 1 species
CAGAGGGUGCGAGCGUUAAUCGGAAUUACUGGGCGUAAAGCGCGCGUAGGCGGCUUUGCAAGUCGGGUGUGAAAUCCCCAGGCUUAACCUGGGAACUGCAUUCGAGACUGCAUUGCUAGAGUAUGGGAGAGGGAAGUGGAAUUUCCGGUGUAGCGGUGAAAUGCGUAGAUACCGGAAGGAACAUCAGUGGCGAAAGCGACUUCCUGGACCAAUACUGACGCUCAUGUGCGAAAGCGUGGGGAGCAAACAGGAUUAGAUACCCUGGUAGUCCACGCCAUAAACGAUGAGAACUGGAUGUCGGGAGGGUCUGCCUCUCGGUGUCGUAGCUAACGCGUUAAGUUCUCCGCCUGGGGAGUACGGCCGCAAGGUUG